CCCCGAGCCGUCCCCGGCCCCACACCCGUCCCUACAGGGCUCCGGGAGCCCGAUCGGGUAGUCCCCUCAGAGAGAACGGUGACCCAGGGCCUUGGGCCCACCCUUGCCCUCACCCCGGAGUCGGGGCAGAGAGGCCAAACUCAGCCCGCCACGCCCGGCCAUCACUUCAGGCCUUUCUUCGGCCGCCUCAGGCGCACCCGCCAGUGAGGACAACGCUGAGGGGCCACCAGGGGAAGAGGGAGGACCGGAGUUGCACAGGACAAGAGCCGGGACAGUCAGCAGCCAGAGUGGGAAGGCAGGCUAUAAACUUGCACAUGGAAAUUAAAUUACAGAUCCGGGAAAAUAUUCAAGAGAUCAUCUGAGUCCAGCAGGACAGGAACAUGUGGCUCCAAGGACCCAGGGAACACAACACACACUCCACUUGCAUGGAUAAGCAGGACACACCCCAAGAAAGUUUUCACAUGGAUUUUAAGGCCUCGCUUAUCUAAAUCAGCUCCCAAAGGUGGACACAACCUGGCCUUCACUGUCAGCAAGAACCAGCUGGAGGAAGCACCCUAAUGAAAGAGCAGCCAUUGGCUCACCUGAACACUUGCAGACAAGCAAAAGACCAUCACUGCACAAUCUUAAUUCUCCAAAGCAAUCCUGCCAGUGGGGAUAAAGUCCUAAAAUGUAUCUCCUGCAGCAGGGAAGCAUCUGAG